AGUGAACGCUGGCGGUAGGCCUAACACAUGCAAGUCGAACGGCAGCACAGUAAGAGCUUGCUCUUACGGGUGGCGAGUGGCGGACGGGUGAGGAAUACAUCGGAAUCUACUUUUUCGUGGGGGAUAACGUAGGGAAACUUACGCUAAUACCGCAUACGACCUACGGGUGAAAGCAGGGGAUCUUCGGACCUUGCGCGAUUGAAUGAGCCGAUGUCGGAUUAGCUAGUUGGCGGGGUAAAGGCCCACCAAGGCGACGAUCCGUAGCUGGUCUGAGAGGAUGAUCGGCCACACUGGAACUGAGACACGGACCAGACUCCUACGGGAGGCAGCAGUGGGGAAUAUUGGACAAUGGGCGCAAGCCUGAUACAGCCAGACCGCGUGGGUGAAGAAGGCCUUCGGGUUGUAAAGCCCUUUUGUUGGGAAAGAAAAGCAGCAGGUUAAUACCCCGCUGUUCUGACGGUACCCAAAGAAUAAGCACCGGCUAACUUCGUG
rnacentral:rRNA from 1 species